rnacentral:rRNA from 1 species
GAUGAACGCUGGCGGCGUGCCUAAUACAUGCAAGUCGAGCGAACAGACGAGGAGCUUGCUCCUCUGACGUUAGCGGCGGACGGGUGAGUAACACGUGGAUAACCUACCUAUAAGACUGGGAUAACUUCGGGAAACCGGAGCUAAUACCGGAUAACAUGUUGAACCGCAUGGUUCAACAGUGAAAGACGGUCUUGCUGUCACUUAUAGAUGGAUCCGCGCCGCAUUAGCUAGUUGGUAAGGUAACGGCUUACCAAGGCAACGAUGCGUAGCCGACCUGAGAGGGUGAUCGGCCACACUGGAACUGAGACACGGUCCAGACUCCAACGGGAGGCAGCAGUAGGGAAUCUUCCGCAAUGGGCGAAAGCCUGACGGAGCAACGCCGCGUGAGUGAAGAAGGUCUUCGGAUCGUAAAACUCUGUUAUUAGGGAAGAACAAAUGUGUAAGUAACUAUGCACGUCUUGACGGUACCUAAUCAGAAAGCCACGGCUAACUACGUG